rnacentral:rRNA from 1 species
AUUGAACGCUGGCGGCAGGCUUAACACAUGCAAGUCGAGCGGGGUGAUGGUGCUUGCACUAUCACUUAGCGGCGGACGGGUGAGUAAUGCUUAGGAAUCUGCCUAUUAGUGGGGGACAACAUCUCGAAAGGGAUGCUAAUACCGCAUACGUCCUACGGGAGAAAGCAGGGGAUCACUUGUGACCUUGCGCUAAUAGAUGAGCCUAAGUCGGAUUGGCUAGUUGGUGGGGUAAAGGCCUACCAAGGCGACGAUCUGUAGCGGGUCUGAGAGGAUGAUCCGCCACACUGGGACGGAGACACGGCCCAGACUCCGACGGGAGGCAGCAGUGGGGAGUAUUGGACAAUGGGGGGAACCCUGAUCCAGCCAUGCCGCGUGUGUGAAGAAGGCCUUAUGGUUGUAAAGCACUUUAAGCGAGGAGGAGGCUCUUUUGGUUAAUACCCAAGAUGAGUGGACGUUACUCGCAGAAUAAGCACCGGCUAACUCUGUGCCAGCAGCCGCCGUAA